rnacentral:rRNA from 1 species
GCAUGUCUGAGUCAGCAGUCUCUUUGCCGAAACCGCGGAUAGCUCAAUAUAUCAGUUGUAAUCCGUAAGAUCCGUACAUUACACGGAUACCUGUGGCAAAUCUAGAGCUAAUACGCUUUUAAGUUUUCGUCCAGCGUUCGCCGCUAAAACGGCGGCGUUCGCUCGGCGAACAGCAAUUAUUAGAACCACUUUUAUUUUGUAAUAAUAGUAGUGGUGACUCUGGAUGCAGGUUGCUACGCGCAAACGGUCAAAAAAUGAACCGGCGCUAAUUUAUGCGAGCUUCUGACCUAUCAGCCAGAUAGUUAGAUACGGGCUAACAAUGGCUUUGACGGGUGACGGGGAAUCUGGGGUCGAUUCCGGAGAGGGAGCCUGAUAAACGGCUACCACAUCCAAGGAAGGCAGCAGGCGCGGAAUUUAACCUAAUACUAGCUCUGUGAGUUAGUGACGAAGAAUCUUGAUGCGGGGUUCUUAACGGAGCCUCGCAAUCGAAAUGAGUUUAUCGUAAAACCUUAUUACGACGAGCUACCGGAGGGGCAAGCGCUGGUGCCAGCAGCCGCGGUAAUUCCAGCUCCGCGAGCGUAAUGCUAAUAUUGCUGCGGUUAAAGUGUUCGUAGUUGGCUUU